AGAGUUUGAUCCUGGCUCAGGACGAACGCUGGCGGCGUGCUUAACACAUGCAAGUCGAACGGAAAGGCCCUUCGGGGUACUCGAGUGGCGAACGGGUGAGUAACACGUGGGUGAUCUGCCCUGCACUUUGGGAUAAGCCUGGGAAACUGGGUCUAAUACCGGAUAGGACCACGGCAUGCAUGUGCUGUGGUGGAAAGCUUUUGCGGUGUGGGAUGGGCCCGCGGCCUAUCAGCUUGUUGGUGAGGUUACGGCUCACCAAGGCGACGACGGGUAGCCGGCCUGAGAGGGUGUCCGGCCACACUGGGACUGAGAUACGGCCCAGACUCCUACGGGAGGCAGCAGUGGGGAAUAUUGCACAAUGGGCGCAAGCCUGAUGCAGCGACGCCGCGUGAGGGAUGACGGCCUUCGGGUUGUAAACCUCUUUCGCCAGGGACGAAGCGCAAGUGACGGUACCUGGAGAAGAAGCACCGGCCAACUACGUGCCAGCAGCCGCGGUAAUAC
rnacentral:rRNA from 1 species